rnacentral:rRNA from 1 species
UGCCAGCAGCCGCGGUAAUACGUAGGGACCAAGCGUUGUCCGGAAUUACUGGGCGUAAAGCGUGCGCAGGUGGUUUUGUAAGUCAGAUGUGAAAGCCCCGGGCUCAACCUGGGAACUGCGUUUGAAACUACAAGACUAGAGUGUGGCAGAGGGGGGUGGAAUUCCGCGUGUAGCAGUGAAAUGCGUAGAGAUGUGGAGGAACACCGAUGGCGAAGGCAGCCCCCUGGGUCAACACUGACGCUCAGGCACGAAAGCAUGGGGAGCAAACAGGAUUAGAUA